GCCAGACUCCUACGGGAGGCAGCAGUGGGGGAUAUUGCACAAUGGGGGAAACCCUGAUGCAGCGACGCCGCGUGGGUGAAGAAGUAUUUCGGUAUGUAAAGCCCUAUCAGCAGGGAAGAAAGGAGACGGUACCUGACUAAGAAGCCCCGGCUAACUACGUGCCAGCAGCCGCGGUAAUACGUAGGGGGCAAGCGUUAUCCGGAAUUACUGGGUGUAAAGGGAGCGCAGACGGCAGUGCAAGUCUGGAGUGAAAGCCCGUGGCUUAACCACGGGACUGCUCUGGAAACUGUGCAGCUAGAGUGCAGGAGAGGCAGGCGGAAUUCCUAGUGUAGCGGUGAAAUGCGUAGAUAUUAGGAGGAACACCGGUGGCGAAGGCGGCCUGCUGGACUGUAACUGACGUUGAGGCUCGAAAGCGUGGGGAGCAAACAGGAUUAGAUACCCCGGUAC
rnacentral:rRNA from 1 species